GGUACUCCAUGCAGUUGCUGAGCGUUUGUUUCAGACCCAUGAUGAUGGCCACCUGCACGAACAGGUCUGUCAUGCAGCCGCUGAGAUGGCACUGCGGGGGCAAGGGUGAGAGGUGCAACAAAACCACUGAGAAAUGUAGCAGGAGGAAAUAUCUGUCGCAGAUAGCGGCAAAAACUAUAAAAUAGAGUGAAAUUCACAGGAAAUACGGGGGACCCAUAAGAAGAAAACUAUAACACAGCUAAAGAACAUUAAAACAAGACUUGAAUAGAGGAAACUUGUUCUUCGAUAGAAAAACUUACGCUUGUAUUUUUGUGACAGGUGGAAUGUCAGGCCCCCAAAGAUACCACAUCCUAAUUCCUGGAACCUGUGAAUAUGUUAUCUGACAUGGCAGGUGGUAUUAAGGUUGCUAAUCAGCUGACCUUAAAAUGGAGAGAGAAUCCUGGAUUAUCUGGGUGUGCCCACUGUAAUCACCAGAGUCCUUAAAUGAGUAAGAGGGAGAGCCAGAGAGAUGGCAGGAUGAGAAGGACCCAGCCUGACACCACUGGCUUUGCAGACACAGGACGGAGCGGGCCAGGCAGCCUCUAGAAGCUGAAAAAAACAAGAGUGUGGACUCUCCCUGAGGGCCUGCAGACAGAACACAGCCCUGCUGACACCCUGAUUUUAGCCCAGUGAGACCCAUUUUGGACUCUUGGCCUCGAGAACUGUACGUAAUGUGUGUUGUUUAAAGCCACUAAGUUGUGGCCAGCAACAGAAAAUUAAUACAGUAUCUAUGUCAAUUCUCCCUAAAAGAAUGUAUAAUUUCACUGCAGUCUUAAGCUAAAUCCCACAGAAUUUUGAUGGAGUUUGACAAACAUUAUUUUAAAGUUCACCUAGAAGAAUAAACACGUAAAUAACUACAGAAAAGGAAAAGUGAAAAAGAAGAGAAAAAGAAAAUUAACGCCAGACCUAUCUGACAGGAAAGCAUUACAGUAGUGAUGACACAGAAAUGUACUAGACCAGAGCCAUCAGAAUCCACGGAGCGCCAAAACAGUCAAGUGCAUGAUGGAACUUACUGUGUGACAGAAGGGUGGUGGUGGCGAUGGAACAGUCAACAAAUGGUUUGGGGACAACUGGCUGUCACUUGGAAAACAACAAAACAGGCUUCCCUCCUUUGCCGCCUGCAGCAAAACAAAUUCCUUGUGAAUCAAAGAUUUAAAUGUUUAAAAUGUUGAAACCAUAAGCAUCUAAGGGAAAUCACAGCUGAACGUUUUUUUUGGUUUUUUUUGUUUUGCUCCGGACGCGAGGCUCAGUGGCCAUGGCUCACGGGCCCAGCCGCUCCGCGGCAUGUGCGAUCCUCCCGGACCAGGGCACGAACUCGCGUCCCCUGCAUCGGCAGGCGGACUCUGAACCACUGCACCACCAGGGAAGCCCCUGAACAUGUUUUUAAUGUUGAGGAGGGGAGGCCUUUUUGAGCACGGCAUGAAAAACAGGAACUAUAAACAGACACACUGAUAACCUUCGUGACGAAACAGGAACCACCUCCAGAGAAACACGAGUGGCUGCACAGGCUCCUGCCCUCUCCUCCCAGGGAUGCCACAUGCAGGGCCAGUACACGAAAGGCGCCAGACUCAGGCUUCCAUCUGCCCCACCGCCUGCUGACUGUGCGACUUAACCUUUCUGUGCCUCGGUCUACUCAUCUGUGAAAUGGGGUUUAGAGAUUCCCUACCCCAUAGGGCUGUUGUGCAGAUUAGAGCUGAUGAAUGUGAGGCCCUUAUGAUAGAACGGGUGAGUGUCAGCAGACGUGAGUUAUUAUAAAGACAUAUCCCAUCCUGCCAGGAAAAACCUACUCAGUCCUUCGUUCUUCAGUAUGAACGGACAGCUACAAAUCUUCAGGCACGAGGAAAACCAGCUGUACAAAAGAGAAGGACUACGAUAAAGGAACAGGAAGAUGGACCUUUAGGAAAUGAGAUAAUGAGGAAACAGAUGAGAACUUAAGGGGAAAAAAGAACAUUGAUAUCCUCAAGAAAGUACUGUAUCUGUGGAAACAAGAAAAGGACACUUUAAAAAAAUAAAAGGAUAAAAAAAUAAAAACCCUCUUGGAAAUUAA